CUAUGUGCCACCACAUCAGCCAGAGGUGUCAACUUAUCACCGGUGUUAUUAGCCUGGAGGAAGCUUGUGUACUGACCAGACGCCCAUUACCUGGCUGUGUCCACCUCAGGCUGCAGUGAGCUAAGCCGUCUGUGGCUCCCGGUUCCCUGACUGGUAGCCAUCGCCCUUACCAUACGGAAGCUGCCUCACAACAGACCCAAAGCAGCAAGUGACCGUGGACUGAGAAUCCCAACAAAUGAGCUUCUCCACGGUGGUGCUUUGCCACAGGUUCAGAAAUCUGACCACAUAGAGGCAGGGAUAGAGAAGCCAAGAAUUCGGGGGAGUCCCUUCCCAGCCCUGGCCCCUGUCUACACUGCGCCUCCUGUGUUUCAUGCUGCCUCUCCUCUCUUCAGGCUCUUCAAGGCAGCUCACACUCUCACCCAGAAGAGAGCGAGAUCCACUGACAGUGCUAAAACCCAAGUCACUAGAACUUUCUACAGUGAUCACGGCCGUGGUUGGGUGUCUGUUCUUGCCAAGUCAUUAGCACUAAUGGGCUUCAAGCUGGGCCCGGGCAGACCUGUGUUCAAGCCUAGCUCAGCAAGUGACUUGCGGGACCGAUGGAGUUUCAGAGCCUCAAAUACGAAGUGAAAUGUGGGAAGCUGGGCCACAGACAGUUCAGGCAACUGUAAGAGACUAAAGGCUAUGAGGUGACAAGGGGACAAGAUCUGGGGUCUGGAUUUGAAACCGGCUUGCAUCUUGUGUGGCCUCAGACUAAUUACUAAGCCUCUCUGUGUUUCAACUUUAACACUUGGCACACGUUGCUACAUUCACACGGACUCUUGGGAGGCUUUUAGCAAACCCGCUACUCCGAAGAGCCCCCAGGGGACACUGUCACCUACACCAUGUAUGUACAUGGUGCCUCCUGAAGCUGGGAAGCCCAUGGCUGUGUGGGGAAAGCUUCACUGGGCACCACAGUCAUCGUUCCUUUCACCUCCUUAGAACUGGACAAAGAGCAGGGUGCUCCGAGUCUCAGUACAGGAGGCCAAGCCACGGCUGCAGAGCCACAUGCCACGAGUUAGUGGAGCAGGGGCGUAAACUCAGACUCGUGUCAGAGGGGCAGAGACAGCGCCCUCCUCGUCAGCAAUUUGUCCAUGGAUGGGCACGUGUGGACCAGUGAGCUCCAAAAGGCUUUCCAGAGACUGUGGGAAGGCACAUCUGUCUUCUAAGAAAGCAUUCCUGAGCUUUUCACGGUUUUUCUGCUUGUCAUCCCGGCACUAGGGAAGCUGAGGCAGGAGGAUAGCUGCAAGUUUGAUUUAAGAGAAACUAGUCCAGAACAGCCCAUAGAGGAGGAGAAUGCAGAGGGUGUUAGAGGGCCAGCUGGAGCCUUGAUUAGAGUGAGAUAGAAGCUGUACCCCCUUGCAGUUCUGAGAACCAGCAAAAGCGAACAGCAGCAGCCAGGUGUGGUUCCAGUCACCUCUCACCCCAGCACUCAGGAGGCCAGAACAUGAGUCUGGCCUUGGCUACCUAGCACAAGCCUGUCCUCCCCCCUCAACAAAAAUAAACACUGCAAGCACACAGAAGCAACAGGUUCCAGUGGGCUCGGCAGUGUUCGUGAGACUGACUUUGCUGCCAGUAGAGAUUGCUCUGCUUAUUAAGUCCCCAGAAGAGGUUCCGAAAGUCCAUUUGCUUUCAGUACUUCUUUGGAGUCUCGAGGUUGCCACUAGCUCUGCUUGGCCAGCUCUUAGAGAAGCACUCUUGGACAACUCUAGGACUUCAAGAGCUUUUAACAUGAUUGUUUUCCUUUGGUCUGGCACGACCACAUAAAAUCCAUCCCACAUGGUCAGAAUCACCCGUGGCCUGCUGUGGGUCCCACCUGCCCAGUCGUCUGCUCCCGCUGCAGCCUGUCACUUGAAGCUCACUUAGUUUGGGAUGGGGACACAGGUCCUAAGCAGACUUGGCAUCAUUUUCUGGAAAGGGCUUGAGCAUCUGUGGCUAGGACCCCUCCCCUGUGGAUGGACACAUGCAGAUGACAGAGCUCUGGAACAUGGAUUUUCUGGAGGCAUCUGGCACCAUCCAGGACCAGCAAACAACCUGAAUGGUUGGGGAAGCUUCCUCACAAGCGUCUGAACAUGAAGAUUCUGGCUGUGGCUUCGUGGAAGAGAGCUUGGUUGGCACGCACGAGAUCCUGAGUUCCAUCCCCGAAACCACAGGAAACGAAGACCCCCAAAACACGAGGAACAAAAGACAGGGUGGUGGCAUCUGACCCAGGGGAGAGCAGCAAUGGGGAAGUUCGGCCAGAGACAGAGUCAAGCGGCCGUUUGAGCGGACCCCGUGGAAGGCCCAUAGUGCUCAGAGUGUCGAGUCACACGUGUCAUCCCCACACCCGGGAGACUGAGGCAGCAGGGUCAAGAAUUCUAAGCCAGUCUGUGUUAUAUAGUCUGUCUCAACAGAAACUACAGUAACCAAAACAAAACAAACAAAAAUACAGAUCCUCCCGUGAGUACA